rnacentral:misc_RNA from 1 species
ACAAACUUGGUCAUUUAGAGGAAGUAAAAGUCGUAACAAGGUUUCCGUAGGUGAACCUGCGGAAGGAUCAUUAUUGAAUAAAACUUGGUUGGGUUGUUGCUGGCUUCUCGGAGCAUGUGCACGCUCACACCAUUUUUAUAACCACCUGUGCACCUUGUGUAGGUCUGAACAACUCUCGAGGAAACUCGGUUCGAGAAAUGCUGCCCGUAAAAAGUCAGCUUUUCUUGCGUUCAGAUCUAUGUCUUUAUAUACUCCAUCAGAAUGUAUUGGAAUGUAAUUGAUAGGCGUUUACUGCCUUUAAAAUCAAAUACAACUUUCAACAACGGAUCUCUUGGCUCUCGCAUCGAUGAAGAACGCAGC